rnacentral:misc_RNA from 1 species
AAGGAUCAUUACCGAAUUGUCGACACGAGUUGUUGCUGGUCCUCGAAAGAGGGCAUGUGCACGCUCUGUUUGCACAUCCACUCACACCUGUGCACCCUCCAUAGUUCUGCAGCCCUGGGGGGCUCUUGUUUCCCCUGCUGUGGUCCUAUGUAUCUACACACACACACUGUAAUAAAGUCUCAUGGAAUGUAUGCCGCGUUUAACGCAAUACAAUACAACUUUCAGCAACGGAUCUCUUGGCUCUC